CGCGGUGUAGCUUAGCGGCAAGAUCAGUGGGCACACAACCCAUGUACGCCGGUUCGAAUCCGGCCACUGCAU
rnacentral:tRNA from 1 species